rnacentral:lncRNA from 1 species
GUAGAUCGACUAGGCAUAGAUAGAUCCGGUGAAACCUUUUACUCACCUAAUCCGGAGCCCGAGGAACUCCCUGCUCCGGCCAUGGGUGCCGGUGUAGUCGUCGGAGAUGCGAGAGAAAGGUGUGGUCGUGGGUGGUGCUUCCCGUGAGCACUGCGCUAACCCUAGAUCGGAAGGGUGUGUAGGUGGGGAGUCUGGCGGCGUGGUGAACCUCGUAUCGUGCGCCCCGGCCCCCACCACUUUAUUUAUAGCGCAGGUCACAGGGGCCCACCAACCAUAACGGGUUGG